rnacentral:lncRNA from 1 species
AGUUGUCUGUCAGUUGUUUCUGAUUUGUCAUUUUCUAGCUCAUGUCUGUCACAGGCCAUCCUUCUCAACACAUAAUCCUCAAGUAGGGGUGUAGACAUUCCUGUUUUGUUAGACUAAGCAGGGUGGAGUAAAUCUAAAAUUCACAGAAUGAGUCAUCAUAUAAAUAAUACAUGUUGUCAUUUGCCUCCAUGGCCAUUGUUUAAUCAACAAAAAGCACAAACCUCCACCUCUUAACCAAAGACCAACAAUAAUAAGAAGCUGUCUUUAAUCGGAUGAUAUCCCAUCUUUUAGCCUAUGACAGUUCAUACACCCAACAGGAAUAAACAAUUUAUAGGAUGGUCAAAAUGGAGAUUUGUCAAGGAAAAUGGGCAUAAAACAUGCUGCAAUCAAGUGAUACUCUCAGUUAACUAUGAAUCUACUAAUAAUAGUGAGUUUUAAAGCAUAUUAAUGAUGAUAUGAAUAGUGGAUCAAUGCAUAGAAUUCUGAGACUGGAAUUGGGAAAACCAGUGUUCAAAUCUACUCUGAUAUUUACUAGUUGUCUGAACCUGGGCAAGUAACUUAAG